AGAUGUUUAUUUAAAUGCUGCGUGCCUUUGAAGUGUUCUGGUUUUAAUGCGCGUGCGCGUAAACAUUCGAGUCGCAUUCAAAGACAGGAGCGUGCGCGCGAUCAGAUGGAAACGAGGAAACGUCAUCAACUGACACACAGCAAAAGUAACGUCUCUCGCUGUUGUUUUCGCUGCUUUCAGAAAUGGGUUUGUGUCUUCGAAAAAGUCCGUUAGCAUCUCAACUGUUUUCAGAAGAGAAGAUCAUCAUCAUGCUGAUGGCCUGCUGCACCCCGUCCAAGAAAAUCUCCACGGCUAUGAACUCGACUAUGAGACUGUCCUUGAGAAGCCUGUAGGCUAAAUAAUCAGCCAAAUAAUCCGCGGCAAAUGUUAUAAUGGUCAUAGUUAUAAUAAUUAAUUUAACUAUUAUGAUAACAGGAUAUCAUGGUCAUUGGUAUAUUUUAUUUGAUUUCUCUAGGCGUGUUUUUAAUUAUGUUGGCCAAUGAGACAGACAACAUACUGUCCAACUCAAAGAUGAGAUAUAAUCGUUUGGCCCUGUGAUUCUUCAGGACAAGAUCUUGAUGCCAUCCACACUCAGUAGAUGACGAAGCUCCUGCGUCCAUUUGGGCUGAAGGUCGAGACAGAACCAAACCAAAGCUGGACUGUAACCUACUGGCCAUAUGACAGACUUCAUAAUGACACCUACUGGCAUGGAUGCGGCAUCACAUGUUUUUCAACAAAACCUUUUUCACCUAGAAUUUAAAGUGUGCAUUAUUCAUCCCCCAUGAGGAGACUCCAUGUCUUCAUCUCUUGUGAGUGGAUAUCAUUUAAAACAUUCUUAAAAGAACGGCUCAUUUCUUCUGAAUUUAUAGUAUUUAUUGUUCUUGUCAAGUAAUAUUGCUGUAAUCCUGUUAAUGUAUGUACAGUAUAAAUUGCAAACAUGCUUGUGUUGGACACGUGUUCACGGGUUACAGACAUUUUAGAGGAGGUAGAUGCUGUGUAUUUAAAGGUGCUCUAAGUCAUGUUUAUUUGUACAAUAUGUCAUUUUUGUAUAUACAUCAUUAUUACACUGGAACAAAUUACUAUUUUUUUAUUUGUAAAUUAGCAACUUAAUUUAACCAUUGCACAGCACCACUUUAUCACCAAUAUUUUUUUUUACAACU